rnacentral:rRNA from 1 species
UAGGGAAUUUUCCGCAAUGGGCGAAAGCCUGACGGAGCAACGCCGCGUGAGUGAAGACGGUUUUCGGAUUGUAAAACUCUGUUCUUGGGGAAGAAAACAAUGACGGUACCCAAGGAGAAAGCCCCGGCUAACUACGUGCCAGCAGCCGCGGUAAUACGUAGGGGGCAAGCGUUGUCCGGAAUUAUUGGGCGUAAAGCGCGCGCAGGCGGUUUUUUAAGUUGGGUGUCAAAGGCAGUGGCUCAACCACUGUACGCACCCAAAACUGGAGAGCUUGAGUGCAGGAGAGGGGAGUGGAAUUCCCGGUGUAGCGGUGGAAUGCGUAGAGAUCGGGAGGAACACCAGUGGCGAAGGCGACUCUCUGGCCUGCAACUGACGCUGAGGCGCGAAAGCGUGGGGAGCAAACAGG